AUUGAACGCUGGCGGCAUGCCUUACACAUGCAAGUCGAACGGCAGCGCGGGGGCAACCUGGCGGCGAGUGGCGAACGGGUGAGUAAUAUAUCGGAACGUACCCUAGAGUGGGGGAUAACGUAGCGAAGUUACGCUAAUACCGCAUACGAUCUAAGGAUGAAAGUGGGGGAUCGCAAGACCUCAUGCUCCUGGAGCGGCCGAUAUCUGAUUAGCUAGUUGGUGGGGAAAGGCCUACCAAGGCAUCGAUCAGUAGCUGGUCUGAGAGGACGACCAGCCACACUGGAACUGAGACACGGUCCAGACUCCUACGGGAGGCAGCAGUGGGGAAUUUGGACAAUGGGCGAAAGCCUGAUCCAGCAAUGCCGCGUGAGUGAAGAAGG
rnacentral:rRNA from 1 species